AUCUACGGCCAUGCCACCGUGAACAAGCCUGAUCCCAUCUGAUUUUGGAAGCUAAGCAGGGUCGGGCCUGGUUAGUACUUGCAUGGGAGACCACCUAGGAAGACCAGGUGCUGUAGGCA
rnacentral:rRNA from 1 species